rnacentral:sRNA from 1 species
GUGUCAGCCCUGGAAACUGAUGCCUUCUAUUAAUCCAGCAACAAGCACAGCAUUGGCAGCAUCAAUGCGAGAUAACUCUACACCAUCCAAUCGUGUCUCAGCUCUGAACUGUGAAGAUCAUCUUAAAGGGAAAGAGGAUAGUUUAGUCUCCAGGACUCAUUCCAUGCAUGGUCCCU